GUAAGAAACUUUAUUAGGCCCAUCAGUGAAAGAGAACCUUUUGCUAUAAACCAUCAAAUUGACGGGAACACCUUAAAGCUAUUUCAACUAAAUGUAUUAGGUAACUAAAUACAUGGCCCAGGUAAUGACUCGGGGUAUAGUAAAAUCGAAAUAGAUGUAUGAAAAGAAAUAGGCAACCCGCAGCCAAGUACCUAUUGUAUUAGGUAUGCAGUUCAUCGACUAAACGGUGGUUGGCAUAAAAUUUUUUUUAAUUUUAUGCUUAAGAUAUAGUCAGGCCCUGCUUGAGAAAGUACA
rnacentral:ncRNA from 1 species